rnacentral:rRNA from 1 species
CUUUUUGAAACGCAAGUUUGCGCCCGAUGCCAUUAGGUUGAGGGCACGUCUGCCUGGGUGUCACAUAUCGAAGCCUCCUGCCAAUUUCUCUUUGAUUAUUGUGCAGGGUGGAUGUUGGCCUCCCGUGAGCUCUUUCGUCUCAUGGUUGGUUGAAAAUUGAGACCUUGGUAGGGUGUGCCAUGAUAGAUGGUGGUUGUGUGAUCCACGAGACCAAUCAUGUGCUGCUCUAUUAAAUAUGGCCUCUUUUACCCAUAUGCGUUUCUAAACGCUCGUGAUGAGACCUCAGGUCAGGCGGGGCUACCCGCUGAAUUUAAGCAUAUCAAUAAGCGGAGGAAAAGAAACUAACAAGGAUUCCCUUAGUAACGGCGAGCGAACCGGGAUAAGCCCACCAUGAGAAUCGGUCGCCCUCGGCGUUCGAAUUGUAUCGAAAAAAAAACCCCCAAAUUUU